rnacentral:tRNA from 1 species
ACUGUUUUGGCAGAUUAAUGUAAUAAAUUUAGGAUUUAUUUAUGUGGUAUUUACCACAAGCAGUA